UACGUAGGGGCAAGCGUUGUCCGGAAUCAUUGGGCGUAAAGCGCGUGUAGGCGGCCCGGUAAGUCCGCUGUGAAAGUCGGGGGCUCAACCCUCGAAUGCCGGUGGAUACUGUGAGGCUAGAGUACGGAAGAGGCGAGUGGAAUUCCUGGUGUAGCGGUGAAAUGCGCAGAUAUCAGGAGGAACACCGAUGGCGAAGGCAGCUCGCUGGGACGGUACUGACGCUGAGGCGCGAAAGCGUGGGGAGCAAACGGG
rnacentral:rRNA from 1 species